GUCCGUUCUUCUCGCUGCUCAGUCGCGCUUUGCCUGCCGUCUCUCGUCGUGCUCGUUGCUGGCGUCCGUCGUGCUCGUCCCUCGAAGGUGUUUUCAAACUACCUCAUGGCUAGUAAUGCUAGAGAAGACACACAAAGCAACAGUGUUGCUCCAAAUGAUGAUGAAAUUGAAGUUCAAAGUAAUGUUAAUCCAACUUCAGAAACUCCACAAGCAACGGAUAAUGUCUCAACUCCAGAAGGAUCAACUCCUAAUGAAGGUGACAAUAAGACUCAUGUUAAGAGUGCUUAUUGUGGGCAUCUUUGGGAAGUAAAGGUUUAAAUCUUGAUUUGCAAACUUUUAAUGAUGAUAAAGAUGCUGAAAGUGAUCAAGAAUAAGGGUUGAAGAUCAUUUUAUAUCUAAUAUUGUGCUUUCUUUAUUAUGGUAUUUAAAUUUGUAGUGAUUUAACAAUAUUUUUUU